rnacentral:rRNA from 1 species
UACGUAGGGUGCAAGCGUUACUCGGAAUUACUGGGCGUAAAGCGUGCGCAGGCGGUUCGCUAAGACAGAUGUGAAAUCCCUGGGCUCAACCUGGGAACUGCAUUCGAUACUGCCGAGCUAGAGUGUGGGAGAGGGUAGUGGAAUUCCCGGUGUAGCGGUGAAAUGCGUAGAUAUCGGGAGGAACAUCAGUGGCGAAGGCGACUGCCUGGCCCAACACUGACGCUGAGGUGCGAAAGCGUGGGUAGCAAACAGG